AUGCCUGGCUUAAUCCCCUUAACAGCAGACGCACAGUAGCCACAGAAGAGGUACCACAUGCCCACAUUCAGCCGUCAAUCUUUAGUUAGCAUAUCAGUCACACAAGGUUCUAGGGUGGAUCAUAUGAGGUCUUUUUUGGCUUUGAAACUUCCACCAUCUGCAGAGGCAAGAGAACCCAAGUUCAAAGUCAGUCUGAUCUACAUAGCAAGUUCCCAGCCAGUGAAACAACAGCAACAAAACCAAAACUUCAUCACCUUAUUUGGUCUUAGCAUACCGGAAACCACUCUGAUCUCUGGCGGGUUCCCUGUUACUUUGAAGCAUUCUGUGCCUCUCGCAUGUCUUAACGUCUGGGUAGGAAGACCUCAGAAGAGAUCUGUGAGUUUGUGCUUGCUUGUGGUGGCUGUUUGCUGUGCGGUGAAAACAAGGCACCCCAGACUUCAGAAGCAAAAUGAAAUAAACUUCUUGGUUCAUGCGCAAACUGUGCAGAAUGGGCUUUGUGUGGGAGCCGGCAAAGGUGGAAGUGCCAUUCAAAAGUUGCCAGAGCCCAAGAAUAGACUUGCCUUGGUGAGGCUUCUGGACUGCCUCCAGUUCCUAGCAAGAGCCAUGCCCGGCCUUCCUGAAGUGCACCAUUGAGAAAACGCCUUGAGAAUAGGUUGACUGACACGGGGAGCAACAUGGAGAGAAUGGCUUUAAUGAGCCAAAAAAUGUGGUUUCAAAUGCCCGUCUCCCAGUGUCACUGCUGGCCUUUGCCAGCAGAGGCAAAGUCUUGUUCACUGGCGCAAACUCCGAGAAACACCGAGCAAGCCUGCACCAACUCCAAG
rnacentral:lncRNA from 1 species